CUUUUUCUUACUGGGCCCAUAUUGAUUGGCUGGCUCCAGGUGGCCUGAUGGGGGUAGGGAAUCUUACCAUUUCGGGGGAAACCGAAACUUAGGUCCGGGCUGCCUGUCAUGGUGUUAGCCCUGGCAGCCUCACAUUAGAGCCUAAUCAUU